AUGGCAGGGUGAGGGGAGGAGGGUGGCGGGAUGGUUGGGUGUGCCCGGUGCUGGCGGCGUUAGUCUUAGUCAGACAGUUGUGUUCGGGAGGUUGAGGAGAGCACACUGCUUCCUCUCACCCCUUCCCGCGUGGAGACAGACGCGCCUGCCGCCUCACGCGAGCAGCAAUUACCUCGCCAGACUGAAUCGCCGCCUUGGCAGAGUACUAACUUGCCGCGUCGGAAUGUAACAGACAGAUUAGCAAGAUAUCAAGGAGAACAUUGUGUAAAUUGAGAGUUCACGAUGAAGUCACGGUCGGGAGCCAAGAGACAAAAUGAGUGAGGGUGUGGCUCCCCCGCCACCGUCCGACACCCUUCCCCGAAAUCCCAGUGAUCUGCAUCUCGAUACACUCCAUAUCCCCACCAGCGAGCCCCUGCACUCCCUCAGGAGGAAGGAUCAGCCGAUAGCAGACUGCAGUAGCGACAGCCCCGUCACCCCGCACUAAAAAAGGGCUAGUCGCGGUUUCCUUGGCCCGCGCCUUCAGGAAAGUGUUCAGGAGUCGCACGCCCUCGCCCAGCACAGACGAGCGGGGAAGGACGAACCCAAUUCUGAGUCUGAAGACACCAAGUUGGAAACAUCGAGCGACUCAGAAUGUCACAACGCGGACAUCUGUGUGAGUGAGGCCGAGGUGAAUGGGCUGCCAGUGCUCUCCGUCCUCAACAACAACAGUGUCCUCAGCUCACCCAGCGAAGACGUGAGCAGCUCCAGCAUGAAGGAUUUUCUGUCGCCCCACACUCCGCUCAUAGCGAAGUCCCAGACAUACUCGGCCUUGUCUGAGGCUCUCCAUCAUGCCUUCCUCGAGGGUAAUGAUAUGCAGCGGCGCCGAAGACGUCAAUAUAUUGUCCUGUGAAGACAUCCAUAGUCAGGGCAGUAAAAGCGACAAUGAGUACGCUCUCAGUAAAUCCAUAGAUUAUUCGCUAAACAAUAAGAGAAGUCCAAGUUGCGUGUUGUCAGAGGUGAGGGAGACACUGAAAAAGACUUUGGAGCACCGUCCCUCUAUUGCCGUCCCGAGCAGACCGGGAUCCUACCAUGAAGCCUUCGAUGCCGCCACCGACGACGACAGCAGCUCCCACCACAGCCAGGACGACAAGCAGGAAUCACAUUUAUCCCAUGAUACCGAGCCGAGGAGCAUUCUUGGAAACCUCUUCAGCUCCCGCCGGCCCUCUCUCGUGCCUCCCACUGACGACGCCAAAAAUGAGGAGACAGGGGCACUUCAGGCCAGCCCAAGGCUCCGGCUGAAGGAAAGCGUAUCCCACGGCGAGCAUAAAGGCCACAAGAAGCUCGGGGAUAAACUGAGUAAAGUGGCUGAGGUUAGUGCUUGUUGUCAGUCCUUCUUCAGUAAAGGUAAGUGUUUCCGUCCUUCAUAACCACAGUCAAUUGUCAUGCUCAGACGCCACACACGCUGGAGCAGAGGACCGGCCAUUUGAGUCUUCAUAAUAAGUCUUACUUUUCCUGUUCUCCGUGUUU